AGCUUUGUGCAGUGGCAACAUUGUAGCCAGUGAAGUUUAUCCGAGGCACGAUUACUGCUAAUCGAAAACUUUUCCCAAUACCCCGCCGUGAUGACUUGAAGUAGUCGAGAGGCG
rnacentral:snRNA from 1 species